ACGGCUGAGUAACACGUAGUCAACCUUCCCUUUGGAGGGGCAUAACCUCGAGAAAUUGAGGUGAAUUCCCCGUAGGCCACGAUGGCUGGAACGCCUUGUGGCUGAUAAGGCCUUGAAUUGGAAAGAUACCGCCGAAGGAUGGGACUGCGGCUGAUUAGGCUGUUGGUGGGGUAACGGCCCACCAAACCAAUAAUCAGUAGGGGUUAUGGGAGUAAUAGCCUCCAGAUGGGCACUGCGACAAGGGCCCAAGCCCUACGGGGUGCAGCAGUUACGAAAAUUCCGCAAUGCGCGAAAGCGUGACGGGGUUAAUCCGAGUGAUAGGCGAAAGCCUUUCUUUUAGCCGGUCUGAAACGCCGGCGGAAUAAGGGGUGGGUAAAUCUCGUGCCAGCCGCCGCGGUAAUACGAGUAGCCCGAGUGUUGUCCACGAAUAUUGAGUCUAAAGCGAGUGUAGCCGGAUGCGCACGUCCUCCGUGAAAUCUCCCCGCCUAACGGGGAGGCUUGCGGGGGAUACGACGCGUCUUGGGAAUGGGGGAGACCCGGGGUACGAUAGGGGGAGGAGUAAAAUCCUGUAAUCCUUAUCGGACCACCAGUGGCGAAGGCGCCGGGCCAAAACAUGUCCGACGGUGAGACUCGAAGGCUAGGGGAGCGAAUGGGAUUAGAUACCCCAGUAGUCCUAGCAGUAAAUGAUGCAGACUUGGCGUUGCCCUUCCUUUGUGGGGGGUGCAGUGCCGGAGCGAAGGCGUUUAGUCUGCCACUUGGGGAGUACGGUCGCAAGAUUGAAACUUAAAGGAAUUGGCGGGGGAG
rnacentral:rRNA from 1 species